GACGAACGCUGGCGGCGUGCUUAACACAUGCAAGUCGAACGGAAAGGCCCUGCUUUUGUGGGUUGCUCGAGUGGCGAAGGGGGGAGUAACACGUGAGUAACCUGCCCUUGACUUUGUGAUAUCUUCAGGGAACUGGGGCGAAUAUCGGAUAGGAUCUCCUGCUGCAUGUUGGUGGUUGGAAAGUUUCGGCUGUUGUGGAUGGACUCGCGGCUUAUCAGCUGGUUGGUGGGGUAGGUGCUUACCAAGGCUUUGACGGCUAGCCGGCCUGAGAGGGUGACCGGGCACAAUGGGACUGAGAUACGGACCAGAAGCGUACGGGAGGCAGCAGUGGGGAAUAUUGCACAAUGGGGGGACGCCUGAUGCAGAAACGCCGCGUGCGGGAUGACGGCCUUCGGGUUGUAAACCGCUUUCGACUGUGACGAAGCGUGAGUGACGGUAAUGGGUAAAGAAGCACCGGCUAACUACGUG
rnacentral:rRNA from 1 species